AGUGAACGCUGGCGGUAGGCCUAACACAUGCAAGUCGAACGGCAGCACAGGAAGAUCUCGCUCUUACGGGUGGCGGGUGGCGGGCGGGUGAUGCAUACGUCGCAUUCCACUUUUUCGUGGGGGAGCACGUAGGGAAACGUACGCUAAUGCAUCAUACGACCCACGGGAGGAAGCAGUGGAGAUAGGGACUUUGUGCGUUUGAAUGAGCCGAUGUCGGAUUAGCUAGUUGGCGGGGUAAAGGCCCACCAAGGCGACGAUCCGUAGCUGGUCUGAGAGGAUGAUCGGCCACACUGGAACUGAGCCACGGUCCAGACUCCUACGGGAGGCAGCAGUGGGGAAUAUUGGACAAUGGGCGCAAGCCUGAUCCAGCCAUACCGCGUGGGUGAAGAAGGCCUUCGGGUUGUAAAGCCCUUUUGUUGGGAAAGAAAAGCAGCAGGUUCAUACCCCGCUGUUCUGACGGUACCUAAAGAAUAAGCACCGGCUAACUUCGUG
rnacentral:rRNA from 1 species